rnacentral:rRNA from 1 species
GACGAACGCUGGCGGCGUGCAUAAUACAUGCAAGUUGAGCGCUGAAGGUUGGUACUUGUACCAACUGGAUGAGCAGCGAACGGGUGAGUAACGCGUGGGGAAUCUGCCUUUGAGCGGGGGACAACAUUUGGAAACGAAUGCUAAUACCGCAUAAAAACUUUAAACACAAGUUUUAAGUUUGAAAGAUGCAAUUGCAUCACUCAAAGAUGAUCCCGCGUUGUAUUAGCUAGUUGGUGAGGUAAAGGCUCACCAAGGCGAUGAUACAUAGCCGACCUGAGAGGGUGAUCGGCCACAUUGGGACUGAGACACGGCCCAAACUCCUACGGGAGGCAGCAGUAGGGAAUCUUCGGCAAUGGACGAAAGUCUGACCGAGCAACGCCGCGUGAGUGAAGAAGGUUUUCGGAUCGUAAAACUCUGUUGGUAGAGAAGAACGUUGGUGAGAGUGGAAAGCUCAUCAAGUGACGGUAACUACCCAGAAAGGGACGGCUAACUACGUG